AGGAAGAGGGCGGAGGGAGCAGAGCAGCCCCCCCGCCCCAGCCCCCGAGCGAUAUCGCCCUCAUCCCCCCAUGCAAUACGGGCGAUAUAGCACGGCUCCCCGCCCCGCGCUGCCGCGGACAGACACCUGCAGGUGAGAAGUAAAUAUGAGCUUGGAAACACAUGACCAUCAGUGCCAGGACCCUGUAAUCUGAACUGUGUCUUCAGCUGACUUCCCAACAGCCAGGCGCUGUUGAUCCUGUACCAUGGAGGACUGCCUUCACACCUCCUCCGAAAAUCUCUCCAAGCUGGUGAGCUGGGCCCACAGCCAUGGGACCAUCUGCAGCCUCAUCCCCAACCUCAAGCACCUGCUUUCCGAGGGGGCCCACGGCAACCUGACAGCCAUGUGGGGCUGUAGUGCUGGCCAUGCCUACCAUUGGCCCCUGGCCGCCACUUGCCGGGCUGGCUCCCAGGAGCGUGUCUGCUUCCAGGACAGCCGCAGCUUCAACUCAGACAGCCCCAGCAUGCUGGGGGUGCCAUCAGAGGCUCAGGCCAGCCCUCUGGAGCGCUACCCAGGCCGGCCAGGGAAGGCCAAGCUGGAUUGCACCCGCACUCGUGACUCCUGUGACUUCUCCUACUGCAGUGAGCCAUCAGAGCUGGGCGAGCCUGUGGAGGAGUAUGAGGAUGAGGCCACCCUCUUCGACAUGGUCUGUGAGUCAUCUGUCACCGAUGAGGACAGUGACUUUGAGCCACACUCGCACCGUGCUCCCACUGGCCCCCGCAAGCGGCCGGCUGCCACGGCCCAGGCCCAGGCGCAGCCCGCAGACGAGAGCGGCAGUGACGUGCUCCUCAAGAAGAUCAAGCAGGAGCUCCCUGAGGACUACUAUAUAGUGGCCAAUGCGGAGCUGACGGCCGGCACCGAUGGGCCGGCCCUGGCUCUGACACAGAUGUCCAAGCCCAAGCUGCAGCCCCCGGCUGGGCCCUCCUGCCUGGGACCCACCAGAACCGUGCCCCAGCCGGCCGCAGGCCCUGACCUCGACCCGCAGCGCCCCUGCGCCUCCCCGCCUGGCCCACCCCGUGUGGCCACGCAGCGGCCUCCCCGGGGACCCAUCGCCUCCCCGGCACGGGGAGCAGGCGGUGGCCCUGUGGCUGCCCUGCAGGUGCCAGCCACCAGCUCCAAUGCCAUCACCACCGCUGGGAAACCCAUCAGCAUCCCCCUGUCAGCUCUGCAGCUGCCUGGUCAGGAGGAGCCACCGGCGGCUGCUGAAGAAACCCUUCCGUCCAUCCCACAGCUGGCCACGGGUGGUGAGGUGGCCAGCUCGCCCUCAGUGGGCACCGAGCCUGAGGUCAGCUCCAGCCAGCAGCAGCCCCACGCAGCGCCCACCAUCAUGCCUGAGGCAGCAGCACAGCUGAUGCCAGACCAGGAUGAGAGAGCAGCAGAGCUUAGCAGGGAGCAGAAUGAGAAGACCAUUCGCAGCACGCAGACGGCUCUCCGCAAUUUCCGAGAAUUCCUCAUUUCCAAGUACCCCUCUGAGACCCGUGAGAUCUAUGUCAUCCCCUGCAAGGAGCUUGAUGCCUAUCUUGCCUCCUUCUUUGUGGACGCCAGACAAAAGGAUGGGUCUGAAUAUGAGCCAAACAGUCUCGCCAACUAUCAGUGUGGACUGGAGCGGUACCUCAAAGAGCACAGGUAUGGAUACAGUAUUACAAGGGAUAAGGAGUUCAAGAGGUCCCAGGAAGCUCUAAAGCAAAAGCAGAUAGAGCUGAGGUGUAAAGGCAAAGGAAACAAGCCACACAAAUCCAUGAAGCUCACCUUUGCUGAUGAGCUUAUCCUGCGCAAAAGAGGCUUAUUGAGCAGAUACAAUCCUGAAGGGCUUCUGAACCUAGUGUGGCUGAACAACACUAAGGCAUUUGGACACUGCACGGGUUUCCAUGGGUCCACCCUCAAGUGGGGGGACAUCCGGCUGCGGGUGACAGAGACUGGGUUGGAGUACCUGGAGUGGAUGGGGCCAGACAACGGGGAUGUGAGUACCAAGAGCAAGAGAGGCGGGACGGACUCGCGGGUGUACGCCACCCAGCACGCCCCGCAGACCUGCCCCGUGCAGGACUACAAGGAGUACGCCCAGCGGCGCCCUCCGGCCAUGCGCUACGAGGAUGCGCCGUUUUACCUGUCCAUCAAACCCGUUGUCAACUUGGCUGCACUUCACUGGUACAAUUGCCAAGCUCUGGGGAAAAACAAGCUUGCCAAGAUGGUGAAGACAAUGUGUGAGAAAGGGAACAUCCCUGGCCGCAAGACCAACUUCAGCGUCUACCAGAGCUGCAGCACCCUCUCUGAAGCUCAGAGCAACCAGCUGGUGCUGAUCUGCAAUAACUUGAGCCAACAGGCUGCCCAGUCCAUGGCAAGCCACUCUAAUACUGGCAACUUCAUAGUGUCAGCAUCCUAUGACUCGUCAUCUGACACGGCUUGAAAGACCACUGAACAUGUUUUUCUUUUCCUUUCUGUUUCAAGCAUUGAAUUUGUGCUCAAUAAUACACAUCAGCUGUGAUUGUACACUAUUCCCCCUCUCAGCCCUCUCUCCAGUGUUAAUUCACUUUAUAAGAAUAUAUAAACAUAUAAUAUAUUUUUCUUUCUACAAAUAAGUCAACAGAAAUAGUUUAGUAUUACUAACAGUAUUUAUAGUGUUAAUGCAAAAAUGAAAGGUACUUAUGGGUUAUAAUACAAAUGCAGAUUUUAAAAGGAUAGAAAUGGUUCUCAGGCAACACAAGAUAGACUGAAAAUACCAUUUUUAACAUGCACACAUUAAUAAGUCCCCAGGGAGGCUUACGUAGCAAUUCUGUUCUAAAGCAUUUUUUCAACUUAGUAUUGUAACAUGACCUCCCACAAUGGAGGAGACAAACUUAACAUUGGCUGCUGCUUUUUACCUGCCAGCUUAUUCUUGAUCAACAAGACCAAGAAAUAAGAAAUACACCAAUAAUGAAAUGUUCCUGUGUGAGAGGGAGAUGGCAGAGUGUCUGCACCUCACUUAAGCCUUACUGAAGGUAUGUUUUGGGGAUGAAACAGGUAGCAGAUGUGGCACUGAAAAGUCUAAGGGCAGAGAUUUCCACUAUAAUAAAUAUCUGUCCUCCCAGGAAGCUUGAUGCAGGUGACACAACCUGGCUGUGAUCUCUUUUUUUCCCACAUGUAGUGAGGCUGGUAAAAAGUCUGGUCUUCUGUGUCUGACACUCCAUAGUAGUGUAGCCACCAGUUCUACAGUCUUCCAUUUAUGAUCUGCUGUCUCUCAGGGUAGGCAGUGGAUUGGUGGGCACAAGCAGUUGUUCAUAUUGUAGAGCCUUCCUUUUGUAACUUGGCUUUGGGACUUGAGGCCAAUUAUGACUCUACUGAAGUGGUUGCAAAAUUUGUCUGUGACUUUCUGACUUGUCAGUGAAGGAGACAGAAGCCCAGAGAGAUUUCAGGUGAAGCCAGAAAGACAGCUGCCCAGCUUUCAGAUGAGGCCAGACAUCUGAUUGCUAUUUGUACUGCCUUGCCUUUUCACAGCAGUGCUUUUAAUGUGAUAUUGUGAAAAAGCAAGACCAGUGUUGCUCUGGGAUUUCUUUACUGUUGUCCACUGAGGACUCACGCAGCAGUGCUUAGUAUGUGCUGGAGUGUGAGCAUUCUGUGCCAAGGAUCUCUCUCAAACUGCCAGGUGAGAGCUCAGCCAUGGAGCUGACCUCUAGGGAAGUCUGGUUUCUCUUUCUCCCCACUGGUACUCAUGUAACACUUCCCAGUGACAGCUAUUGCAGUAUCUGACAUAGUUCCCUAGAUUUUCUUUCCUGUUCUGCAGUGAGGGGUUGGGUAUCAGCUGACCUUUGUGGGGCAGCAGAUCUCUGUUUCCCACCUCUCCUCCGCUGCCCAGCACACCCUUUGCUCUGAGGAGGCUGGUCCCUGGCUGUACAUGUGCUGUGCUGCAAGCAGCACUUUGAAGUGUUGCUUCACAUCAGUGCUGUAAUUCAGCCUUAACACAGAUCUCAGAAGAAAGAAGACUGGCACUCCUGGGUUUUGAGCUGAGAGGUCAAAAGAAGCAUUUCCCAUUACUUUUUUCUGAUUCUGCAUGCUGCCUAAAUUGUUGAUUACCACAGUAUUAGGAUGGUUUGUGCUGAUGUCCAGCAGCAGUAAGGCAGCAUCUCUGGUACCCUUCACUUAAUGGGGCACAUGAGCAACCUUUGCUUGCCAGGUUAGGGAACAAGCAUUGAAAUGUGUGUGCUUAUUGUGAUAGCCUCAAUAUUAUCACGAGGGAGGCCAGGGCCCAACUGGAAUUAAAUCUGGCCAAGGACAUCAAGGACAACAAGAAUGAUGUCUGCAAAUACAUCAACAACAGAAGGAAAAGGAAGGAUAAUAUGGGCCUGUUACUAAAUGAAGGAGGGACCCUGGAAACAGAGGAUGUAGAGAAGGUGAAAUUACUGAACACUGCCUUUACAAUGGUCUUCACUAGCAGCACCAGCCCUCAGGGAUCUCUGACCCAGGAGACCAGGAUAAAGGAAUGUUGGAAGGGAGACUUUCCCUUGGUCAAGGGGGGAAAGGUGUUGGAGAACACCUAGACUUCCACAAGUCCAUGGACCCUGAUGGGAUGCAUCCACAAGUGCUUAGAGACUUGGUGGACACCAUAGCUGAGGCUGCUCAUGAUCACCUUUGAAAGGUCCUGGAGAGGUGCCUGUGGAUCAAAGAAAGCAAAUGUUACCCCAGUGUUCAAAAGGAAAAAAAUGGAGCCCAGGAAAUUACUGUCCAAUAAGCUACACCCCAAUCCCUGGAAAGGUGAGGAAGUGCCUCAUUCUGGAGGGCACUUCGGUCCAUAGGAGAAGAUGAUCAGGAUAGUCAACAUGGAUACACUAAAAGUAAAUCAUGUUUGACCAACCUGAUUUGCCUUUUACAAUUAAACAGCUAUGUGGAAGGAUGAGAGGAGAACAGCAAUCUUGUCUACCUCAACUUCAGUGAGGCUUUCAACACCGUCUCUCAUAGGCAAACUCAGGAAGAGUAGACACAGUAGGACAGGGAGGUGGAUUGAGAACUGGCUGAACAGCAGAUCUCAGGGUCACAAUCAGUGGCACAGGUUCUAGUUGGAGGCCUGUCACUGGUGGUGUUUCCCACCAAUAGUGGACCCAGUCUUGUUUAAUUUUUCCAUCAAUGACUUGGGUGAAGGGGCAGAGGCCUGCUCAGCAAUUUCCUGGCAGCACAAAGCUGUGAGGAGUGGCCAAUAGCCCAGAGGGCUGAGCAGCCCUUCAGAAGGACCUCAGCAGCCUGGAGCGAUGGGCACAGAGGAACCUUCUGAAAUUCAGCAAAGGCAAGUGCAGGGUCCUGCAGCUGGGGAGGAACAACCCCAGGCACCAGCACAGCCUGGGGGUGACCUGCUGGGAAGCAGCUCUGCAGAGAGGGAGCUGGUGGGUCCUGUGGACAACAAGCUCUCCAUGAGCCAGCAGUGUGUCCUGGUGGCCAAGAAGGCCAUUGACAUCCUGGGGUGCACUAUGAAGAGCAUUGUCAGCAGUUUGAGGCAGGUGACCCCACCCCUCUACUCAGCCCUGGUACAGCCUCACCUGGAAUGCUGUGUCCAGUUCUGGGCUCCUCAGUACAAAAGAGACAUGGAGCUCUGGAGCAGGUCCAGUAGAGGGCAACAAAGAUGAUUAAGGGAAUGGAGCAUCUCUCUAAUCAAGCACAGGAACAGAUUGCCCAGGAAGACUCACCCUCACUGGAGAUAUGCAAGAAUUACAUAGAAACAAUCCUGUGCUGCGUGCUUUAGGAUGACCCUGCUUGAACAUGGGGCUUGAAACAGAUGACACACUGUGGCUCCUUCCAAACUUACCCAUACUCUGAUUCUGUGUAUAUAGGAAUAGUUUUGUUCUGCUUUGUGAUAUCUGUAGUAGCUCCAGCAGUAAUGAUGGCAGACUGACUUGGUAAGUUCUGAUGGGGCAGCCCCACUCAGACUAUUUGUUGAAGAAGUUAAACACAUAUGGACAGAAUAUGAUACCCAAGUAACAUAGUACAAAAAUAAACUUAAUUGUUUUGAAGGGUAUUUAAUACAACCUAUUAUUCAGUCUUUAUUUGGGGACAGUUAAAGGAAUUGAGUGGCCACAGUUUGUCUAACAUUUGUAUUAAGGCUGUGAAAGGUUAUUAAUUGUCUAGGAGGGAGACUUUGUGUUUAAGCUGCUCUCCUGGUUUUGUCUAAUACUCGUAGGAGAGUACAUAUCCUAAUCUCUUUAAUUUUGAUGAGAGAGGACAACCAGUUAUUUGCAGAUUUGACUGAGGGUAUCACACCUGCUUUGGCAGCAGGGUGCGAGCUCACAAUGAUGGUGUGCACCUUUCCUGGUGCUAAGAUACAGCAGCGUGUGUUGGGGUGCAUUAGUUUAAGUUGGUUUAUUCCUGUACCCCCCAUUCCUGCUUAUGGUUCUGCCCCGGGCUCUCUCUCUCUCCCUCUUCUGAAUUGUCCCGUCAGCUACACUUUAUCUUUCCUAAAUUCCUCCCUAACUGCCUG